AACGAACGCUGGCGGCGCGUCUUAAGCAUGCAAGUCGAGCGGUAUGGAGAAGCUUGCUUCUCCAGAGAGCGGCGGACUGGUGAGUAACACGUGGGUGACCUACCCUUAGGAUGGGGAUAGCCACUAGAAAUAGUGGGUAAUACCGAAUGUGGUUGCGAGACUGUGGUCUUGCAAAGAAAGGAGCUACGGCUCCGCCUGAGGAUGGGCCCGCGUCCCAUUAGCUAGUUGGUGAGGUAACGGCCCACCAAGGCGAUGAUGGGUAGCCGGCCUGAGAGGGUGAACGGCCACACUGGGACUGAGAUACGGCCCAGACUCCUACGGGAGGCAGCAGCUAAGAAUAUUCCGCAAUGGACGAAAGUCUGACGGAGCGACGCCGCGUGGAUGAAGAAGGCCGAAAGGUUGUAAAAUCUUUUGUCGAUGAAGAUAAGCAUGGAGGGAAUGCCCGUGUGAUGACGUUAGUCGGUCGAAUAACGCCCGGCUAAUACGUGCCAGCAGCCG
rnacentral:rRNA from 1 species